ACGAACGUUGGCGGCGUGGAUUAGGCAUGCAAGUCGAACGCGAAAGAGGGGGGCAACCCCUCGAGUAAAGUUGGGCGAACGGUGGUGAGUAACCGCGUAGGAAACCUGCCUUCAAGUUGGGGGAUAACACUCCUAACGGGGUGUGCUAAUACCGGAAUGAUCACUGCGAGAUCGCAUGGUUCUUGCAGUCAAAGGUGGCCUCUGUUUACAAGCUAGCCGCUCGAAUGGAUGUGUCCUGCGUCCCAUUAGCUAGUUUGGUAGGGGUAACGGGCCUACCAAGGCUACGAUGGGUAGCCGAUCUGAGGAGGUAUUGACCGGCCACACUGGGACUGAGGAUACGGCCCAGACUCCUACGGGAUGGCAGCAGUCGAGAGGCUUCGGCAAUGGGGGGAAACCCUGACCGAGCGACCGCCGCGGGAGGAUGAAGGCCUUUGGGUCUGUAAACUCCCUGUCCAUGUGGGGAAGAAACACCAUCGCGCGAAUAGUGCUGGUGGUCCUGACUGGUACCACACAAGAGGAAGCUCCGGCUAACUCCGUGCCCAGCAGCCGCGGGUAAUACGGGGGGGGAAGCAAACGUUGUUCGGAAUCACUGGGGCGUAAAGGGCGUGUAGGCGGCUGGAUAAGUGGGAUCGUUAAAUCCCCCCGGCCUCAACCGGGGACCUGCAUCUCAUACUGUUCAGCUCGAGCACAUCAGAGGAGACUGGGAAUUCCCCGGUGGUGUAGCGGUGAAAUGCGUAGAUAUCGGGAUGGAAACACCAGGUGGCGAAGGCGAGUCUCUGGGAUGAUGCUGACGCUGAGGCGCGAAAGCCAUGGGGAGCAAACGGGAUUAGAUACCCCGGGUAGUCCUGGCCGUAAACGUUGUGGCACUAGGUGGUUGGAGGGCAUUCGACCCCCUCCAGUGCCGCAGCUAACGCAUUAAGUGCCCCGCCUCCUGGGGGAGUACCGGCCGCAAGGUUGAAAGCUCAAAGGAAUUGACGGGGGCCCGCACAAGCGGUGGUGGAGCAUGUGGUGGUUUAAUUCGAUCGCAACGCGAAGAACCUUACACCAGGCUUGACAUGCACGGGACCGGUGUUGAAAGACACCUUCCCUUCGGGGCUCGUGCACAGAUGCUGCAUGGCUGUCGUCAGCUCGUGUCGGUGAGAGCUGUUGGGUUAAGGUCCCGCAACACGAGCGCAACCCUUGUCCAUUAGUUGCCAUCAUUCACAGUUGCGGCCACUCUAAUGAGACCUGCACGGUUGGUUACAACCGGAGGGAAGGUGGGGAUGACGUCAAGUCCUCAUGGCUCUUACGCCUGGGGCUACACACGUGCUACAAUGGCCGGUACAAAAGGGUGUUGCAAGACCGCGAGGUGGAGCCAAUCCCAAAAAGCCGGCCUCAGUUCGGAUUGGAGUCUGCAACUCGACUCCAAUGAAGUCGGAAUCGCUAGUAAUCGCUGAAUCAGCAGGCACAGCGGUGAAUACGUUCCCGGGCCUUGUACACACCGCCCGUCAAGCCCACGAACAGUCAUGUAGUACCCGAAGUCGGUGUGCCAACCGCAAGGAGGCAGCCGCCUAAGGGUAAGAUCGGUGAUUGGGGCU
rnacentral:rRNA from 1 species